rnacentral:rRNA from 1 species
AUUCCUACGGGGCGCAGCAGUAGGGAAUCUUCCACAAUGGGCGAAAGCCUGAUGGAGCAACGCCGCGUGUGUGAUGAAGGGUUUCGGCUCGUAAAACACUGUUGUAAGAGAAGAAUGACAUUGAGAGUAACUGUUCAAUGUGUGACGGUAUCUUACCAGAAAGGAACGGCUAAAUACGUGCCAGCAGCCGCGGUAAUACGUAUGUUCCAAGCGCUAUCCGGAUUUAUUGGGCGUAACGCGAGCGCAGACGGUUAUUUAAGUCUGAAGUGAAAGCCCUCAGCUCAACUGAGGAAUUGCUUUGGAAA